GAUGAACGCUGGCGGCGUGCCUAAUACAUGCAAGUCGAGCGAACAGACGAGGAGCUUGCUCCUCUGACGUUAGCGGCGGACGGGUGAGUAACACGUGGAUAACCUACCUAUAAGACUGGGAUAACUUCGGGAAACCGGAGCUAAUACCGGAUAAUAUAUUGAACCGCAUGGUUCAAUAGUGAAAGACGGUUUUGCUGUCACUUCUAGAUGGAUCCGCGCCGCAUUAGCUAGUUGGUAAGGUAACGGCUUACCAAGGCAACGAUGCGUAGCCGACCUGAGAGGGGGAUCGGCCACACUGGAACUGGGACACGGUCCAUGCGCCUACGGGAGGCAGCAGUAGGGAAUCUUCCGCAAUGGGCGAAAGCCUGACGGAGCAACGCCGCGUGAGUGAUGAAGGUCUUCGGAUCGUAAAACUCUGUUAUUAGGGAAGAACAAAUGUGUAAGUAACUAUGCACGUCUUGACGGUACCUAAUCAGAAAGCCACGGCUAACUACGUG
rnacentral:rRNA from 1 species